rnacentral:rRNA from 1 species
CCUACGGGAGGCAGCAGUGGGGAAUAUUGCACAAUGGGCGCAAGCCUGAUGCAGCCAUGCCGCGUGUGUGAAGAAGGCCUUCGGGUUGUAAAGCACUUUCAGCGAGGAGGAAGGUGGUGAGCUUAAUACGCUCAUCAAUUGACGUUACUCGCAGAAGAAGCACCGGCUAACUCCGUGCCAGCAGCCGCGGUAAUACGGAGGGUGCAAGCGUUAAUCGGAAUUACUGGGCGUAAAGCGCACGCAGGCGGUUUGUUAAGUCAGAUGUGAAAUCCCCGGGCUCAACCUGGGAACUGCAUUUGAAACUGGCAAGCUAGAGUCUUGUAGAGGGGGGUAGAAUUCCAUGUGUAGCGGUGAAAUGCGUAGAGAUGUGAAGGAAUACCGGUGGCGAAGGCGGCCCCCUGGACAAAGACUGACGCUCAUGUGCGAAAGCGUGGGGAGCAAACAGGAUUAGAUACCCUAGUAGUC